GCCCCCGUAGCUCAGUUGGUAGAGCAAGUGACUCUUAAUCACUGGGUCGUAGGUUCGAGUCCUACCGGGGGUACCA
rnacentral:tRNA from 1 species